rnacentral:rRNA from 1 species
CCCGCACAAGCGGUGGAGCAUGUGGUUUAAUUCGACGCAACGCGAAGAACCUUACCUGGGUUUGACAUCUUGGGAAUCUUUUAGAAAUAAGAGAGUGCCCCGCAAGGGGAGCCCGAAGACAGGUGCUGCAUGGCUGUCGUCAGCUCGUGUCGUGAGAUGUUGGGUUAAGUCCCGCAACGAGCGCAACCCUUAUCUUCAGUUACCAUCAUUUAGUUGGGGACUCUGGAGAUACUGCCCCGGUUAACGGGAGGAAGGUGGGGAUGACGUCAAGUCCUCAUGGCCUUUAUAUCCAGGGCUACACACGUGCUACAAUGGUCCGUACAAAGGGUUGCAAGCCUGCGAGGGUGAGCUAAUCCCGAAAAGCCGGUCUCAGUCCGGAUUGGAGUCUGCAACUCGACUCCAUGAAGUUGGAAUCGCUAGUAAUCGCAGAUCAGCACGCUGCGGUGAAUACGUUCCCGGGCCUU